rnacentral:rRNA from 1 species
UACGGAGGGUGCAAGCGUUAUCCGGAUUCACUGGGUUUAAAGGGUGCGUAGGCGGGCAGGGAAGUCAGUGGUGAAAUCUCCGGGCUUAACCCGGAAACUGCCAUUGAUACUAUUUGUCUUGAAUACUGUGGAGGUCAGCGGAAUAUGUCAUGUAGCGGUGAAAUGCUUAGAUAUGACAUAGAACACCAAUUGCGAAGGCAGCUGGCUACACAAAUAUUGACACUGAGGCACGAAAGCGUGGGGAUCAAACAGG